GACGAGGUGACCGAGCGGUUAAGGUGAUGGACUGCUAAUCCAUUGCGCAUUGAACGCAUGGGUUCAAAUCCCAUCCUCGUCG
rnacentral:tRNA from 1 species